CCACCUGGCGACAGGAGCGAAUCCCAAACCACGUCUCAGUUCGGAUCGGAGUCUGCAACCCGACUCCGUGAAGCUGGAUUCGCUAGUAAUCGCGCAUCAGCCAUGGCGCGGUGAAUACGUUCCCGGGCCUUGUACACACCGCCCGUCAAGCCAUGGGAGCCGGGGGUACCUGAAGUCCGUAACCGAAAGGAUCGGCCUAGGGUAAAACUGGUGACUGGGGCUAAGUCGUAACAAGGUAUC
rnacentral:rRNA from 1 species